rnacentral:tRNA from 1 species
AGCCCCGAGGUGUUGAGCACGUCAGAUUGCAAACCUGAAAGAGUAGACCAACGUCUGCCGGAGCUU